GACGAACGCUGGCGGCGUGCUUAACACAUGCAAGUCGAACGAUGAACUUGGAGCUUGCUCUGGGGGAUUAGUGGCGAACGGGUGAGUAACACGUGAGUAACCUGCCCUGGACUCUGGGAUAACUUCGAGAAAUCGGAGCUAAUACCGGAUAGGACCUUGCACCGCAUGGUGUGGGGUGGAAGGUUUUUCGGUUUGGGAUGGACUCGCGGCCUAGCAGCUUGUUGGUGAGGUAAUGGCUCACCAAGGCGUCGACGGGUAGCCGGCCUGAGAGGGUGACCGGCCACACUGGGACUGAGACACGGCCCAGACUCCUACGGGAGGCAGCAGUGGGGAAUAUUGCACAAUGGGCGCAAGCCUGAUGCAGCAACGCCGCGUGCGGGAUGACGGCCUUCGGGUUGUAAACCGCUUUUAGUAGGGAAGAAGCCUUCGGGUGACGGUACCUGCAGAAAAAGGACCGGCUAACUACGUGCCAGCCGCCGCGGUAAAAC
rnacentral:rRNA from 1 species